GACGAACGCUGGCGGCGUGCUUAACACAUGCAAGUCGAACGGUGACCUGAGGUGCUUGCACCUUGGUGAUCAGUGGCGAACGGGUGAGUAACACGUGAGGAACCUGCCCCAGACUCUGGAAUAACCCCGGGAAACCGGAGCUAAUACCGGAUAUGACCUCAGGCCGCAUGGUCAUGGUGUGGAAAGUUUUUCGGUCUGGGAUGGCCUCGCGGCCUAUCAGCUUGUUGGUGAGGUAGUGGCUCACCAAGGCGACGACGGGUAGCCGGCCUGAGAGGGCGACCGGCCACACUGGGACUGAGACACGGCCCAGACUCCUACGGGAGGCAGCAGUGGGGAAUAUUGCACAAUGGGCGAAAGCCUGAUGCAGCGACGCCGCGUGAGGGAUGACGGCCUUCGGGUUGUAAACCUCUUUCAGUAGGGAAGAAGCGCAAGUGACGGUACCUACAGAAGAAGCACCGGCUAACUACGUGCCAGCAGCCGCCGUAAUAC
rnacentral:rRNA from 1 species